UAUUACGAGAAAAGGACAAAAAUGGUCCCUUAACUAUGAUAGUAGGUUCAAAAUAGUCCCUUAACUAUGCACUUAACGGUUUUAGUCCUUUAAGUUUGUUACAAGUUAACAAAAAUGGUCCCUUAACUAUGAGAGUGGGUUCAAAAUAGUCCCUUAACUAUGCACUUAACGGUUUUGGUCCUUUAAGUUUGCCAUAAGUUGACAAAAUGGUCCCUUAACUAUGAGGGUUGGUUAAAAAUAGUCCCUUAAGAAAAAACCUACAGACUUGAUAAUGUCAGAAAAUGGUGUCUCGAAACACAAAGACCGACGGACUCUAUCGAUUAAAACUGAGGGAAUCUAUCGACUAAAUAAAAUACACUAGACUUUAGAAAUAAAUUAGAAAUAGCAGAAACUAAAAAAGUUGUCACUACCAAAAACAAGCGAAAAAAACGAUGGACGGAAACCGAUGGAUAAAAUCGAGGGACACUAUUUUUUAAUCUUUUUUAAUUUUUAUUGUUUUUUACGAAAACCAACGGAAGUCCAUCGGUUAUUUUUGAGGAAAAAUGCGCGGAAAUUAUUUUUAAAAAAAAGAAUCACUACACUGGAAGUAUUUAGUUUUCUCUAGUUUUCAGUAAAAACGAAUCUAGUGUAUUUUACUUAGCGAAUGGACUCCCUCGAUUUUAAUCGACAGAAUCCGCCGGUCUUUGUACUCCGAGACACUAUUUUUUGACAUUAUCAAGUCUGUAGGUUUUUCCUCAGUUUUUUCCUAUAACCGACUAACGUCCGUCGGUUUUGUCCCGA